GGCGUAAAGAGCUCGUAGGUGGUUUGUCGCGUUGUUCGUGAAAUCUCACGGCUUAACUGUGAGCGUGCGGGCGAUACGGGCAGACUUGAGUACUGCGGGGGAGACUGGAAUUCCUGGUGUAGCGGUGGAAUGCGCAGAUAUCAGGAGGAACACCGGUGGCGAAGGCGGGUCUCUGGGCAGUAACUGACGCUGAGGAGCGAAAGCGUGGGGAGCGAACAGGAUUAGAUACCCCGGUAGUCCACGCCGUAAACGGUGGGUACUAGGUGUGGGUUUCCUUCCUUGGGAUCCGUGCCGUAGCUAACGCAUUAAGUACCCCGCCUGGGGAGUACGGCCGCAAGGCUAAAACUCAAAGAAAUUGACGGGGGCCCGCACAAGCGGCGGAGCAUGUGGAUUAAUUCGAUGCAACGCGAAGAACCUUACCUGGGUUUGACAUGCACAGGACGCCGGCAGAGAUGUCGGUUCCCUUGUGGCCUGUGUGCAGGUGGUGCAUGGCUGUCGUCAGCUCGUGUCGUGAGAUGUUGGGUUAAGUCCCGCAACGAGCGCAAC
rnacentral:rRNA from 1 species